rnacentral:rRNA from 1 species
CAAUAGCGUAUAUUAAAGUUGCUGCAGUUAAAAAGCUCGUAGUCGAAUUUCAGGGUUAUCUGGUCGGUCUGCCGAAAGGUAUGCACUGAUCGGAUGGCUCUUCCUUCUGAAGACUGCGUCUGUCCUUAAUUGGGUGGGCGUAGGAUUCAGAUCGUUUACUUUGAAAAAAUUAGAGUGUUUAAAGCAGGCCACUGCCAUGAAUACUUCAGCAUGGAAUAAUAGAAUAGGACUUUGGCUCUAUUUUGUUGGUUUCUAGGACCAAAGUAAUGAUUAAUAGGGACAGUUGGGGGCAUCAGUAUUUAAUUGCUAGAGGUGAAAUUCUCAGAUUUAUGAAAGACUAACUUCUGCGAAAGCAUUUGCCAAGGAUGUUUUCAUUG